AUACGGAGGGUGCAAGCGUUAAUCGGAAUUACUGGGCGUAAAGCGUGCGCAGGCGGUUUGUUAAGUCAGAUGUGAAAGCCCCGGGCUCAACCUGGGAACUGCAUUUGAAACUGGCAAACUAGAGUGUGGUAGAGGGAAGUGGAAUUCCUCAUGUAGCGGUGAAAUGCGUAGAUAUGAGGAGGAACACCAGUGGCGAAGGCGACUUCCUGGACCAACACUGACGCUCAUGUACGAAAGCGUGGGGAGCAAACAGGAUUAGAAACCCCAGUAGUCC
rnacentral:rRNA from 1 species